rnacentral:rRNA from 1 species
UACGGGGGGGGCAAGCGUUGUUCGGAAUUAUUGGGCGUAAAGGGCGCGUAGGCGGUGCGGCAAGUCUCCUGUGAAAACUCCGGGGCUCAACUCGGAGCCUGCAGGAGAAACUGCCGUGCUUGAGUGUGGGAGAGGUGAGUGGAAUUCCCGGUGUAGCGGUGAAAUGCGUAGAUAGUCGGGAGGAACACCUGUGGCGAAAGCGGCUCACUGGACCACAACUGACGCUGAGGCGCGAAAGCUAGGGGAGCAAACAGG